AGUGGAGCGUGUAUCUAGGAGUAUGGUCGGAUGGCUCUUCAUCUGCAAGGAUAUCACUUCUGGAUCACACAUGUGCACAGGCAUUGACUGAAGUUAGCCCUUAUCACUCUGGACCAGUAUCAACAAGCCCUGUGAAUUGUAUUGAUGGUCACCAUGGUGAUGGGUUUUGGACGUAGCAGUAUCACACGUCGUGAUGUCAUCGGUGUGUGCCCCGAACAGUCGCUCGGCUUCCGGCUCGUGGGCAAUUCAGUCACAGCGGUGUAGGAUAUAAGUUUCCAUGGUGAUGGUACACAAUGAUAGAAAAUGCCUCCACUGGAAGUCAGAUGAGACAUCAGUGCUGGACGCAUACCAUGACGUAACAGCAACUUUCCUCCGGGACCAACAUGUGAUGUUGAGAGCACUGGGUGAAUUAAACAUUUAUAAAGUGGAGAGAAACAAUCGACCUUCAGGUGUGUGCACCGCUUGGGAGCCAUUAACACACUGUGCGGUAAUCUGGAAAUGGGAACGUUUGGAAUAGGAGAGUUCACAAUAGACAUAAUCAUCUCUAAAGAACUGAAAGACAAACAUUGUCCCAUGCAAACAAGAUAAUUUCAUGAUAGAGAGUGACAGGUAUAAAUAUAUAUUUAAUAAAUGUAGAAGAUCAAUCCUGGUCAUGACACAUGAUGAUUUAUGUUAUAAAAUCACUUUGUUUCAUCCCAAAUAUAACAGUGGAUAUACUGUACAUUAAAAUAGUUUAAAAUUAUAACUAUAGGCGGAAAUCAAUUAACCCCGAUAAUUUAACAGUGGCAAAAAACGAGGUAGCCACGAGCAUUUUCAGCAUUUUUAGCUUCGGGCUACUCAAUUACAGCCCUUUUGUAACAUGUCAAACUAUCUGUUUUUGGGCAUUAACACUUAGAAUCCAGGAUAAGUUUCCAGACGUAUGUGUUAACAUUGCAGUGGCUCGCAAAAACAGACUGUUUAAUGAGGGACUUUUUUUGAGCCCGUUCAGGUCUCAAAAAAAAAAAAUCCCUGUUAAGUGCAUCCUGUGGGACGACUUUGGAGGUAAUUGACUAGCCCCAGGGGAUCAAUUAGCCAGCGGUAAAUUAGCUGGUGCAAUUGUCAGUAGUGCGCGCAGUGGUACUGCUGAUGGUGGCAUAUCCAGCGGUACAAGUGGGUGGGUACACGCUGGUAUGGCGUACCCUUAAGAAUUUUGCAGUGGGUACCCUGUACCCAUCGCCGCCAAGCUGCCACUCAUUGCAGUCACCAACUAAACCAGCGGUGGCCAACCCACGGCUCUCAAUCCGUAUGAGGCUCUUUCAACCUUCGCAUGCGGCUCGAUCGCCUCCCUGCCACCGCUCCCUCCCUCCGCUGCUGCUCACCACACUGCUGCUGUGAGCCAAUCAGAGCGGACCACGAGCUUUGAUUGGCUCACAGAUCGGUGCCUUAUUGAAGGUAGACACCCGCACCGCCGCCAGAGACUGAGGGGCAGGAGAGGCGCAUGCUGCGCUCUCCUCCCCUCACACACAGGACAGCAGCAGCACCAUAAGCAGCAGGGGAAGGGGAAGGCACUGUGAGGACAUGUGUACCUGGCACUGGGGGCAUAUCUGGCACUGCGGGGAGAUGUGUAUCUGGCACUGGGGGCAUUUCUGUAUCUGGCACUGGGGGCAUAUCUGGUACUGGGGGCAUCUCUGUAUCUGGCACUGGGGCAUAUCUGGCACUGUGGGGGCAUUUCUGUAUCUGGCACUGGGGGAAUAUCUGGCACUGGGGGCAUAUUUGGCACUGGGGGGACAUGUGUAUCUGGCA